AAAAAUACACGCAUGGAAAUGCUGAAGUUGGUUCUGUCUCUGCUGUCUAUGAAGAUGCUGUGUUAGUGUUGCAAAGCACCACGAAUUAUAAUCCCACCACUGAGCAUCCUUCUGAAUGCUGUGUCCUGAAAGAAAUACUGCAGCUGAUUUAAAAUACAGGAGGAAAUCCAAGCACAAGUACUAAUCGUGGAGCAUUAGGAUUUGAGAGAACAUAUGUUCAGAAUCAGGUGUAUACAUAGGAGUUGGCAUCAGUGGCUAGGAAGGAAUGGAAGCAGCCUUGGCCAAUGACUGACAGCCCAGCUCAAAUACCUCCAGGGGAUCUUGGAGAUUCCAG